UGGGGAAUAUUGCACAAUGGGCGCAAGCCUGAUGCAGCAAUGCCGCGUGAGUGAAGACGGCCUUAGGGUUGUAAAACUCUUUCGCUAGGGAAGAUAAUGACGGUACCUAGUAAAGAAGUCCCGGCUAACUCCGUGCCAGCAGCCGCGGUAAUACGGAGGGGACUAGCGUUGUUCGGAAUUACUGGGCGUAAAGAGUUCGUAGGCGGACCAGAAAGUUGGGGGUGAAAUCCCGGGGGCUCAACCCCGGAACUGCCUCCAAAACUAUUGGUCUAGAGUUCGAGAGAGGUGAGUGGAAUUCCAAGUGUAGAGGUGAAAUUCGUAGAUAUUUGGAGGAACACCAGUGGCGAAGGCGGCUCACUGGCUCGAUACUGACGCUGAGGUGCGAAAGUGUGGGGAGCAAACAGGAUUAGAUACCCUGGUAGUCCACACCGUAAAACGAUGAAUGCCAGUCGUCGGGUAGCAUGCUAUUCGGUGACACACCUAACGGAUUAAGCAUUCC
rnacentral:rRNA from 1 species